rnacentral:misc_RNA from 1 species
UACAGAGGGUGCGAGCGUUAAUCGGAGUUACUGGGCGUAAAGGGCGCGUAGGCGGUUAUAUGAGUGUGAUGUGAAAGCCUUGGGCUUAACCUGAGAAGUGCAUCGCAAACGAUAUAGCUGGAGUAGAUGAGAGGGUGGUGGAAUUUCCGGUGUAGCGGUGAAAUGCGUAGAGAUCGGAAGGAACGUCAAUGGCGAAGGCAGCCACCUGGCAUCAUACUGACGCUGAGGCGCGAAAGCGUGGGGAGCGAACAGG